UCUCUCUCUCUCUCUCUCUUCCCAGUGUCAAAAUCUAAAGAAAAAGCACUAACUUAGAUAUGUGUUCAGCGAUUUUUCUUGGGUGUGCAUGGGUGAAAAAAUAACUAACCACAGGUUAAAAAGAAUUUCUAAAAGAUAACAAGACCAAUCAAGAAUCAUCUGGGAAUUUGAAAUUGCCUGAAUAGAUGAUCAUAGGAACUGAGAUUGACAAUGACUCAGUUGUGAUCAUACAAGUCAUUUGAAAGAUCAGAUAAAUGAAACAGGAGUAGUACAGAACUACUGAGAGCUCAUCCAGAAAAGGAGUUAACUUGCUUUACUGUAUUCGAGCAUGGUGAAUUCUUGAGUAGACUUGUAGUUCUACUCUUUCUUAGGGUUCUACACUUUCUUGUUAUACAAAAGAAAGAGAUAGUUGCAGGGUUUGGAGCGUCCAACAUUUCAUGAAAUUAGUGAAGCUAGUCAAUUCUGCAGCUAGCUUCACUUAAGCAUAUGAGACUGAAUUCCCCCUCUGCUGCUCUAGCAUGGCCGGAGAUGGGUUUUACUAAAAAAAGUUAAAAAAAUCUCGGUGAAGUAAAUGUCUGUGAGCUAGUUUAGAUUAAUGUAGAUAUGAUAUGAUAUUCAUACAUUGUUCUACCAAUAACUGGCAAUGAGGAUGAUUAAUUAAUUAAUAACUAAGUUGAUUCCAGCAGGGAAGCUUCAUCUUUCCUUCUUUCUUUCUUUCUU
rnacentral:misc_RNA from 1 species